CUGAUCCAGCAAUACCGCGUGUGUGAAGAAGGCCUUAGGGUUGUAAAGCACUUUCAAUUGGAAGGAAAACCUCGUGGCUAAUAUCCACGAGCUUGACAUUACCUUUAGAAGAAGCACCGGCUAACUCCGUGCCAGCAGCCGCGGUAAUACGGAGGGUGCAAGCGUUAAUCGGAAUUACUGGGCGUAAAGCGUGCGUAGGCGGCUCGUUAAGUCAGAUGUGAAAGCCCUGGGCUCAACCUGGGAACUGCAUUUGAAACUGGCGAGCUAGAGUUUAAGAGAGGUAAGUGGAAUUUCAGGUGUAGCGGUGAAAUGCGUAGAGAUCUGAAGGAACACCAGUGGCGAAGGCGACUUACUGGCUUAAAACUGACGCUGAGGUACGAAAGCGUGGGUAGCAAACAGGAUUAGAUACCCUGGUAGUCCACGCCGUAAACGAUGUCAACUAGCCGUUGGCUCUCUUUGAGAGUUAGUGGCGCAGCUAACGCAUUAAGUUGACCGCCUGGGGAGUACGGCCGCAAGGUUAAAACUCAAAUGAAUUGACGGGGGCCCGCACAAGCGGUGGAGCAUGUGGUUUAAUUCGAUGCAACGCGAAGAACCUUACCUACCUUGACAUCCAGAGAAUCUGUUAGAGAUAGUAGAGUGCUUCGGGAACUCUGAAAGUGUGAUGUGUCGUCAGCUCGUGUGG
rnacentral:rRNA from 1 species